UGGGGAAUAUUGCACAAUGGGCGAAAGCCUGAUGCAGCGACGCCGCGUGAGGGAUGACGGCCUUCGGGUUGUAAACCUCUCUCGACAGGGACGAAGCGUAAGUGACGGUACCUGUAGAAGAAGCACCGGCCAACUACGUGCCAGCAGCCGCGGUAAUACGUAGGGUGCGAGCGUUGUCCGGAAUUACUGGGCGUAAAGAGCUUGUAGGCGGUUUGUCGCGUCGUCUGUGAAAACUCACAGCUCAACUGUGAGCUUGCAGGCGAUACGGGCAGACUUGAGUACUGCAGGGGAGACUGGAAUUCCUGGUGUAGCGGUGAAAUGCGCAGAUAUCAGGAGGAACACCGGUGGCGAAGGCGGGUCUCUGGGCAGUAACUGACGCUGAGAAGCGAAAGCGUGGGUAGCGAACAGGAUUAGAUACCCUGGUAGUCCACGCCGUAACGGUGGGGUACUAGGUGUGGGGUUUCCUUCCACGGGAUCCGUGCCGUAGCUAACGCAUUNNGUACCCCGCCUGGGGGAGUACGGCCGCAAGGCU
rnacentral:rRNA from 1 species